rnacentral:lncRNA from 1 species
UCUACUCUGGGGGUUAAUUUCACUCUUUUGACUCUUUUUCUACUCAAGUUUUCUGAGCAUUUUAUAUGUGUUAGAGUCUUAAGUCUCGGCAAGUGCAUUUUUCUCUUUUGUUUUUCUUUUCUCUUUUUUCUCUCUCUUUUUUUAAAAGAAAAUACAUACUAUUUUUCUUUUUGUAUGAUCUCUUAUUAUGCACUUGCCUUCUCUUU